UUAAGUUGCAGGGUAUAGACCCGAAACCCGGUGAUCUAGCCAUGGGCAGGUUGAAGGUUGGGUAACACUAACUGGAGGACCGAACCGACUAAUGUUGAAAAAUUAGCGGAUGACCUGUGGCUGGGGGUGAAAGGCCAAUCAAACCGGGAGAUAGCUGGUUCUCCCCGAAAGCUAUUUAGGUAGCGCCUCGUGAAUUCAUCUCCGGGGGUAGAGCACUGUUUCGGCUAGGGGGCCAUCCCGGCUUACCAACCCGAUGCAAACUGCGAAUACCGGAGAAUGUUAUCACGGGAGACACACGGCGGGUGCUAACGUCCGUCGUGAAGAGGGAAACAACCCAGACCGCCAGCUAAGGUCCCAAAGUCAUGGUUAAGUGGGAAACGAUGUGGGAAGGCCCAGACAGCCAGGAUGUUGGCUUAGAAGCAGCCAUCAUUUAAAGAAAGCGUAAUAGCUCACUGGUCGAGUCGGCCUGCGCGGAAGAUGUAACGGGGCUAAACCAU
rnacentral:rRNA from 3 species